UCUAGAAUAGCUUAAGUAAAGCACUGAUUUUGUAACUCAGAGAUAAACACCUUUUUUCUAGAU
rnacentral:tRNA from 1 species